CACGUAGGGGGCAAGCGUUGUCCGGAUUUAUUGGGCGUAAAGAGCUCGUAGGCGGUUCGGUAAGUCGGGUGUGAAACCUCCAGGCUCAACCUGGAGACGCCACCCGAUACUGCUGUGACUAGAGUCCGGUAGGGGAGCGUGGAAUUCCUGGUGUAGCGGUGAGAUGCGCAGAUAUCAGGAGGAACACCAGCGGCGAAGGCGGCGCUCUGGGCCGGAACUGACGCUGAGGAGCGAAAGCGUGGGGAGCAAACAGG
rnacentral:rRNA from 1 species